AGCAGCCGCGGUAAUUCCAGCUCCAAUAGCGUAUAUUAAAGUUGUUGCAGUUAAAAAGCUCGUAGUUGAAUUUCGGGGUCAGCAGGUCGGUCGUGCCACUGGUAUGUACUGGUCUUGCUGACUCCUCCCUCUUGACGAACCGUAAUGCCAUUAAUUUGGUGUUGCGGGAAAUCAGGACUGUUACUUUGAAAAAUUAGAGUGUUUAAAGCAGGCUUACGCUUGAAUACAUUAGCAUGGAAUAAUGAAAUAGGACGUUCGAUCCUAUUUUGUUGGUUUCUAGGAUUGACGUAAUGAUUAAUAGGGAUAGUUGGGGGCAUUAGUAUUCAAUUGUCAGAGGUGAAAUUCUUGGAUUUAUUGAAGACUAACUACUGCGAAAGCAUUUGCCAAGGAUGUUUUCAUUAAUCAAGAACGAAAGUUAGGGGAUCGAAGACGAUCAGAUACCGUCGUAGU
rnacentral:rRNA from 1 species